UCGGGGUGCCCCUAGCAGAGGACAAAACGCAAGGCCCCGCGUCCUGUUUAGUCUUCCUGGGAAUCGAAAUCGACACCCAGGCUCGGCUCUGUAGGUUGCCACCUGAUAAAGUUCAGGGCAUGCUUGAGGCGGUCAGAGCGGCAGUCUCUAAUGCAGUUAUUUCCCUGAAACAGUUACAAUCCCUGUUAGGUUUGCUUAAUUUCGCUUGCAGAGUUAUCCCCAUGGGUCGGGUUUUUAACCGUAGACUGGAAAGACAGCUUAGUGGUAGGUCAAACCCGAAAUCAAAGAUAACCCUAGGGAGUGAAUUGCUGGCUGACCUGGUAGUCUGGGAACAGUUUCUCACGCGAUUUAACGGGAUUCGGGUCUGGCGUACCCCUCCCAUGUCUAGCCAGUUACUGCACCUUUUCACUGACGCAGCUGGAUCGCACGGUUACGGGGCCUAUUUCCAGGGAGAGUGGAGCGCGGAGCCCUGGCCGGAGUCCUGGGCCCCGGCGGGCCUUACUCGAAACCUGACUCUCCUGGAGCUAUUCCCCGUGGUCUUGGCGGUCGAGCUGUGGGGUGGGAAGUUGUCGAACGGGACUGUUGUGUUCUGGACAGACAACAUCAGUGUGGUCUUUGCGAUCAAUAACUUGUCAGCCACCUCAGCAAAGGUCAUUACCUUGCUGCGCCACCUGGUGUUGCGCUGUCUGGACCUUAACAUCCAGUUCCAGGCCCGUCAUGUCCCGGGCGUCGACAAUGUUGUAGCUGACGCCCUGUCACGAUUCGAAUGGGCGACAUUUCGCAAGUUAGCCCCCACAGCUGCAGCCGUGGGCUUACGCUGUCCUGAUUUCCUUUGGCAGCUCGUCCUUCCUGGAUAGCCUUACUGCCGUUGGUCCGCUCCUCCUUAGCACCAUCCACUUGGCACGCCUAUGCCCGCAUGUGGUCUGAAUGGGACAAUUUCUGUGCGUCCAGGGGAGCCGACGCUGCUCAGGGGUCUAGGGACAACUUACAUGAUUGGCUGGCACUACCCCCGGGGUGAAGCGAAUCUGGAUUGUGGGCCACUCCUUUGUCCACUGGGCCUCCCUACGCUGUGCGUCCCUCCCAUUUGGCCAAUCCCUAGGUCUCCCUUCCAACAAGGCAUCCGUUAGGUGGUUGGGUGAUAGGGGGAUGUGCUGGCCCCAAUUAGCAGGAACCAUAUCUGAGGCCCUGGUACGCUGGGGGAAGCCUCACAUUAUUAUUCUUCACCUAGGGGGUAACGAUGUGGGGGCCAUACCAGUUUUACAGUUGAUUAAGGUUAUGCAGGCAGACAUUGGGUGGCUAAGAGUACGCAUCCCGGGGGUCAUGAUAGGGUGGUCCCAUAUAAUACCCCGUCUCCACUGGAGGCAUAUGUCGGCCCAUACGGCGGCAUACCGGGUUAGGAAGAAGAUCAAUGCGUCUGUAGCGAAAACCGUCACUGGGUCAGGUGGCUUCGUGGUACGGCACGAAGCCAUUUCGGCUGAUAGAACCGAGCUAUAUAGAAGGGAUAAAGUUCACCUUUCUGAUGUGGGGCUGGAUUUAUUCAUAGGGGACAUUCAGAGAGCUCUGUUACCCCUCCUGUAAAUCGGGUUGUGCGUUGGCGGCAAGGGUACCAUUAAAAUGCUUCCUUGUGGCGGGAGAUCCUCGGUCCGGUUGCGCAGGAGAAGGUCGCUAGGGGUGAGUGAUGGCCAGACUUCCGGGGAGGAGGGUAGGCCCUCACGUGCACGUGACGGUAACCCUCCUUCCUCCCUUUUGAGGGAUGGUCACGUGAUCUCUGCAACCCCUCAGCGUCAUCUCCUUAGGGCAGAGACUCCUCUGCUGCUGUUCCCGUUGGGCCGGUGAUCUCCUGCUGUUCUGGGUAGCUGAUCUCUAUGCCGCCAUAUAUAUUUUCAGUUCUAUCAGUUCUAUCUAGUUUGUUAGGUUAAUAAAAUUUUAUGGCCUGUGACGGUCACAAAAUUUUUCCCAUAAAAAGUUUGUCUGUGGUUAUUUCGCACUACAUUCUCAUGUACAUAGUUAUUUAAUUAAGUUAUGUUAAAUCCUCUCCUCUGUGAAGAAGGAUCCGGUAAGCAUUUAAUCCCUUAAUGCAGUGUAGGGCUUAGUAUAAGCCUGGAGCAGUCUAAGGGUUAAGGCUGUAGGAGAGUGGGUUAGAAGAGAGAGGGAAGGUGCUGGGUGCAACAUUGUUGCAAUUUAGGGUAGGCCCCUCCUUACCAGUAGAUAAGCCAAGUUCUCCCUUGCAACUUCCUCUUCUUCUCCGGAUCCUGGCUGAAGCAGUUUUUUCCCUCCCUCCCUUCCCCUUUUGUAAUGUUUUAAUGAUGUUGUAUUUUCGACGGCACCUUAAUGGCAGGGCUAUGGCUACUCACCCUAGGCCCAAUAAGCCAUUACUGUAGGAUAUGGAUCUCCUCUCCCUGUUAUGCGGUUUACACGGCUUGGUAACAGGGAAUCCUUAUCUAGGUGGAAGAUCUUCUUUCACCCUGGCGGCGGGAGAUCCUCGGUCCGGUUGCGCAGGAGAAGGUCGCUAGGGGUGAGUGAUGGCCAGACUUCCGGGGAGGAGGGUAGGCCCUCACGUGCACGUGACGGUAACCCUCCUUCCUCCCUUUUGAGGGAUGGUCACGUGAUCUCUGCAACCCCUCAGCGUCAUCUCCUUAGGGCAGAGACUCCUCUGCUGCUGUUCCCGUUGGGCCGGUGAUCUCCUGCUGUUCUGGGUAGCUGAUCUCUAUGCCGCCAUAUAUAUUUUCAGUUCUAUCAGUUCUAUCUAGUUUGUUAGGUUAAUAAAAUUUUAUGGCCUGUGACGGUCACAAAAUUUUUCCCAUAAAAA